rnacentral:rRNA from 1 species
UACAGAGGUCCCAAGCGUUGUUCGGAUUCACUGGGCGUAAAGGGUGCGUAGGCGGUCGGGUAAGUCUGAUGUGAAAUCUCACAGCUUAACUGUGAAACGGCAUUGGAUACUAUCCGGCUCGAGGAAUGGAGGGGAGACUGGAAUACUUGGUGUAGCAGUGAAAUGCGUAGAUAUCAAGUGGAACACCAGUGGCGAAGGCGAGUCUCUGGACAUUUCCUGACGCUGAGGCACGAAAGCCAGGGGAGCAAACGGG